rnacentral:tRNA from 1 species
GAGGGUAGAACUCAGUGGUAGAGUGGGUACUUGGCAUGCAUGAGGUCCUGGGUUCAAUCCUCAGUAUCGCCA